UACGUAGGUGGCAAGCGUUGUCCGGAUUUAUUGGGCGUAAAGCGCGCGCAGGCGGUCCUUUAAGUCUGAUGUGAAAUCUUGCGGCUCAACCGCAAGCGGUCAUUGGAAACUGGGGGACUUGAGUACAGAAGAGGAAAGUGGAAUUCCACGUGUAGCGGUGAAAUGCGUAGAGAUGUGGAGGAACACCAGUGGCGAAGGCGACUUUCUGGUCUGUAACUGACGCUGAGGCGCGAAAGCGUGGGGAGCGAACAGG
rnacentral:rRNA from 1 species